rnacentral:rRNA from 1 species
ACUUGUGCUAAUACCUCAUAAGUCUUUACGGAGAAAGCUUUAUGCGCCAAUGGAUGAGCCUGCACUUGAUUAGUUUGUUGGUGGGGUAAUGGCCUACCAAGACAAUGAUCAAUAGCUGAUUUGAGAGGAUGAUCAGCCACAUUGGGACUGAGACAGGCCCAAACUCCUACGGGAGGCAGCAGUAGGGAAUCUUGCACAAUGGGGGAAACCCUGAUGCAGCGAUGCCGCGUGAGUGAAGAAGGCCCUAGGGUUGUAAAACUCUUUCGCCAGGGAAGAUAAUGACGGUACCUGGUAAAGAAACCCCGGC